rnacentral:ncRNA from 2 species
UUACUUAGCUAGGGGUGCCUGUUAGUACUAGGCUGAGAUAUACCCUAUGUACCUGAUCCAGUUAAUGCUGGCGUAGGGAAGCAGUGAUGCUCUGGU